GGGCCGUUAGCUCAGCUGGUAGAGCAGCAGACUCUUAAUCUGCGGGUCAGAGGUUCGAUCCCUCUACGGCUCA
rnacentral:tRNA from 1 species